GACGAACGCUGGCGGCGUGCUUAACACAUGCAAGUCGAACGCUUAAGCACCAGCUUGCUGGUGUGGAUGAGUGGCGAACGGGUGAGUAAUACGUGAGUAACCUGCCCUUGACUCUGGGAUAAGCCCGGGAAACUGGGUCUAAUACUGGAUCCUACAUGUCACCGCAUUGUGGUGUGUGGAUAUUGUUUACUGGUCUUGGAUGGUCUCACGGCCUAUCAGCUUGUUGGUGAGGUAAUGGCUCACCAAGGAGACGACGGGUAGCCGGACUGAGAGGGUGACCGGCAACACUGGGACUGAGACAAGGCACAGACUCCUACGGGAGGAAGAAGUGGGGAAUAUUGAACAAGGGGCGAAAGCCGGAUGCAGAGGCGCCGCGGGAGGGAAGACGGCGUUGGGGUUGAAAACCAGUAGCAGGAGGGAAGAAGCCAGAAGUGACGGUACCUGAAGAAGAAGCGCCGGCUAACUACGUG
rnacentral:rRNA from 1 species